AGCGAUUGCGCAUGGGGGAAGCCUGAGCGCAACGCCGCGUGCGUGAUGAAGGCCUUCGGGUUGUAAAACUCUUUGGACAGGGACGAAGAAAGUGACGGUACCUGUAGAACAAGCCACGGCUAACUACGUGCCAGCAGCCGCGGUAAUACAAUCA
rnacentral:rRNA from 1 species